rnacentral:misc_RNA from 1 species
UUUUCGUAGGUGAACCUGCGAAAGGAUCAUUAGUGAAUUACUUGGAUUCCUCUGCAAAGAGAAGGUCCAUUUUAUCCACUUUCACAAACACUGUGCACUUGUCUUUUUUACAACUUUUUGUAAAACACAUUUGCCAAACUAUUUAAAAGUCAAUAAUGUUCAAUUAUGAUAACGAAAGUAAAACUUUCAGCAAUGGAUCUCUUGGCUCUCGCAUCGAUGAAGAACGCAGC